rnacentral:lncRNA from 1 species
CUCCUGGAUCUUGCCCUUGCCCUUGUCCUUCGCAUUAGAUCCUUCAGGCUUAACUGAAAAUAGAGGUCAUGAUAUAGCAAGAAUAAGCAACUAAUUUGUUUCACAAGUUUAUAAAGACAAAGGAGAUAUAUCAUGACGUAGAAAGAAAUAUUGCCUUCAAUGUUCAACAAUAAUAUAAGAUUGUGAAGGAACAUGAAUUAAUAAUCAACAAUUGAAUAUUCGAUAAUUGAAUAACAUGAACUGAGUGGUUUUGAAUAACCAUGAACAUUUGCCAAGGUGCUCAGUGAUUUAAACUGGACCUUUUAAUAAGUUUUGGUAUUCAAGGGGAUCAGCCUUUCAUACCCCGUGAUUUAUGCAUAAACACUUAAUAAUCCGACAUUGAUAUCAUGCCUUAAUCAAAUUUGUUCAUUUCUCAGUCAAGAGUUCUUACCAUAUCAAUUAAUAAGAACAGUUAUUUAAAAUCCAUUUGAUUUA